rnacentral:rRNA from 1 species
UGAUGGAGUGUUAUCGUAAUGGUAAUUGAACUUAGUACGAGAGGAACCGUUCAUUCAGAUAAUUGGUUUUUGCGGCUGUCUGACCAGGCAGUGCCGCGACGCUACCAUCUGCCGGAUUAUGGCUGAACGCCUCUAAGUCAGAAUCCGUGCCGGAACGCGGCGAUUUCGCCCCGCACGUCGUAGUUGGAUACGAAUAGGC